rnacentral:rRNA from 1 species
UACAUGGGGUGCAAACGUUGCUCGGAAUCACUGGGCGUAAAGGGUGCGUAGGCGGGUCUUUUAAGUCAGGGGUGAAAUCCUGGAGCUCAACUCCAGAACUGCCUUUGAUACUGAAGAUCUUGAGUGCGGGAGAGGUGAGUGGAACUGCGAGUGUAGAGGUGAAAUUCGUAGAUAUUCGCAAGAACACCAGUGGCGAAGGCGGCUCACUGGCCCGGUACUGACGCUGAGGUGCGAAAGCGUGGGGAGCAAACAGG